rnacentral:misc_RNA from 1 species
UCCGGCUUAUCACCGGCAGUUUCUUUAGAGUGCCCAACUGAAUGGAGGCAACUAAGGGCAAGGGUUGCGCUCGUUGCGGGACUUAACCCAACACCUCACGGCACGAGCUGACGACAGCCAUGCAGCACCUGAACCGGCAGUCCCCGAAGGGAAAAUCCUAUUUCUAGGACGGUCCGCCGUUGUCUAGCCCAGGUAAGGUUCUUCGCGUUGCGUCGAAUUGAACCACAUGCUCCACCGCUUGUGCGGGCCCCCGUCAAUUCCUUUGAGUUUCAGCCUUGCGACUGUACUCCCCAGGCGGCACACUUAACGCGUUAGCUCCGGCACGGACCGACUGAACGGCCCACACCAAGUGUGCAUCGUUUAGGGCGUGGACUAC